AGGAUAGCUCCUCCACUCACCCAGGGCUGAGGAGCACUCCCACCUGAAGCCGGCACCUGCUUACCCACCUUGCCUGCACAUCAGCCAGGAGGAGCCAACCCUCACCAGGCAGUUCAUGGGAGGGCUUGCCAGGGUUACGGACACCGGGCAGCAGGAACAGCAGCUCUGUGCUGUAACAACACAGCUGUACCACUGGCUUCCAGGCACUCUGCUGCCAGCAUAUGCUCAAGAGCUAAUCUCAUUGAACUCUGACCUACUGGGAACUUGACCAUGACAGGAGACCAUUGCCUGCCACUGGCCAGCAAGGGAAGGAGCAGCAUACUGGGACAAGCAGAAAUGGAAGGCUUCCAAGUGGAUACAAAAAUGCAUGUAAAACAAGUUGUCCUCCAGAGACAUACGCCUACUCUAUGACUCCAAGAUUAUUUCCUCUAAAAAUUUGAUAGGGAGAUGUGUACUACUUUGUAGUAUGAUCCAUUGCAACUGUGUUCCAGCAAGGCAGGUAAUCCUACACUGUCCCAGUUUUAUAAGAAUCCAGGCAAUUUGAAUUAAUAGCAUAGAAGUAUAGCACUUGCCAUAAACAUGGAACAGUUGCUUUAUUGCACUUGUCAAAUGCAUUCCUCUCUUUGGUCACAGUUAUGGUUCAAGAAUUUAACAAAAAAUUAACAAGCAAUUCACAAUAAAGAGGAACUGGAAAAACAAAACAACACAACAAGUCAAAGCUGUAGAAAGCAUCCUAUACACUACACGUUUAAAUUUUUAUGUUGUUUUUUUUGUUUUGUUUUGUGCUUUUUCCAGCCUGGUUCUCACUCUUAGUUCAGGAAAUUUCUUAUAAGCCCCAUGCCUUGUUCAAUACAAAUACCAGAGUGGAAAGGACACCAGAGAGGUUCUUCCCUUUAGCCUCCCAAGAAAUACAGAGUGACCAAACAAGUAGUUCUAGAGGUAUUUACC